AUUGAACGCUGGCGACAGGCCUAACACAUGCAAGUCGAGCGCGAAAGUCUUCGGAUGAGUAAAGCGGCGAACGGGUGAGUAAUGCAUGGGAAUCUGCCUGGUAGUGGGGGACAACGUCUCGAAAGGGACGCUAAUACCGCAUACGCCCUACGGGGGAAAGGGGGGGAUCUUCGGACCUCUCGCUAUCAGAUGAGCCCAUGUCAGAUUAGCUAGUUGGUGAGGUAAAGGCUCACCAAGGCGACGAUCUGUAACUGGUCUGAGAGGAUGAUCAGUCACACUGGAACUGAGACACGGUCCAGACUCCUACGGGAGGCAGCAGUGGGGGAAUAUUGGACAAUGGGGGCAACCCUGAUCCAGCCAUGCCGCGUGUGUGAAGAAGGCCCUAGGGUUGUAAAGCACUUUCAGUGGGGAGAAAGGUUAUUCACCUAAUACGUGAGUAGAUUGAUGUUACCCACAGAAGAAG
rnacentral:rRNA from 1 species